UUGUCUGUGAUCUGAGGCCACUGGUCACCUGGUUAUUUGAAUCCCUGGAGCUUGAAUUGGGCAGCAUACAGUCCCCUGCUCCUUGAGGAAAAUUAGUCAAAUUCUGCAGAGAUAUGUUGGCUGUAGACUCUCUUCCCUUUCUUGCCAGUUUUCCUAAUAGGAUGGGGGACAUGUCUUAAAUAAAAAUUGGAAUUUUUACAGAAAUGCGUUAGUUUUAUUGCUGGUCCUUCAGUAGGUGGCACUCUUUUGCUGCCAUAAACCAGGUGGAAGUUCAGGCAUACCUUGGAGAUACUGCAGGCUUGGUUCCAGACUACCGCAAUAACGUGAAUUGGAAUCAUUUUGCUGGUGGAGGGUCUUGCCUUCAAUUUGUACAAACCAUAACAUCUGUAAAGUGCAGUAAAAUGGGGUAUGUCUGUAGUGGUGAGCAUCGAGUGUCCUGUGCUCUUAGUAGUUGUUAAUGAUCCUGAGGCUCUCUACUGCAGUGAUCUGGCCUAAUUCCCCUUAGAUUUUUGCAUUGUUUUCUCAAUUCCCUCAGCAGGAAUUAGAAUAUCCCUGUAUUCGCUGUUUACAUUAAACUCAAAGGAUUUUGCUGAUCUGAUUGAAAGUAGCAUUUUGCUUUGCCUCUUUUUUAGGGUUAUGGACAUUCACAGCUUCCACAGAUGCUCUCAGUGAGAAAUUGUAGAGUGUCUAGGAGCUUGCCCCAAGUACCAAACAAUUAAUAGUAGUCCCAUUUGCAUUUACCUUGACUUAUUAGUUGUAUUAAUUUCCUAUGACUGCUGUAACAAAUUACAGACUGGGUGGCUUAAAACAACAGCAGUUUAUUCUUCACAAUCCUGGAGGCCAGAAAUCUGAAAUCAAGGUGUCAGCAGGGCCAGACUUCCUCCUAAGGCUCUUGGGAAGGAUGCUUUUUUCCCUCCUCUAGCUUCUGGUGCUUGGCAGCCGUGCUUGCUAUUCCUUGGCAUAUAGCAGCAUAACUCCAGUCUCUGCCUCUGUGUGUGUCUGUGUUCAAAUUUCCCUCUUCCUAUAAGGACAUCAGUCAUUGGAUUAGGGCCUACCCUAAUACAGCAUUGCCUCAUUUAAUUUGAUUACAUCUGCAAAGAUCCUAUUUCACAUUCCCAGGUGUGAGGUGACAUGACCUUUUGGGAGAUACUAUUUAACCAGCUGUCAUGCAUUUUGGAUCAUCUGCUGGAUCACUGGUAAAUUGGAAUGAAAUUUUGUAACAGAUUGGUAACUGUAAGGGUGUGAAGCAUCCUUUGAGGGUGUCAGAAAAUACAGUUUAUUCCUGAGUGGUGGGCUGAUUGAAGGGCAGUUACUCUUUAGCUGUACUGAGAAGCUGGUCCAGAGAGGAGAAGCUUGACAGGUGUUACAGCUAGUGAAGCAUUUGAUGUGGCUGUGGUCCUGGCUGGAUAAGAGACUCUUUAUCAACUUGCUUUUGGGUAUAUGUGUGCCUCAAAAGUUGUCACGGGUGAAUUUCAGGGUAGGAGAGGAGAGCUAUAUGUAACUGAGGUUACUAAAUGGGAAAGUAAAAAACAUACUGGGUGCACUCGUUCUAGGGACUAUUGAGGAAGGGAGUUUUGGUUCUCACCCAGGAUUUGAGCAGCUUGGUGAAGGUAGAGGGUUUCCUUGGGUAGGGCUCUGGGGUUUUAGGAGAGAGAGACCCAGAAGGGAAAAAGGGAGAGCGUGUGUGGGGAAAUCAGUGACACUUAGCUGGUGGCAGUAUCUAGUUCCAAGCGGAUCUUGGGGAACAUUUGCUCUCAAGUAACAGCUCUUUGAAGUAAGGAGAGGACCACUUCCAGGUAGAGGAAGGUAAGUGUAUAUGGUUAAGGAUCUUUCAAGGGAACCAGUCUGAUUUAAAUUUCAAGCUUUCAAAACUGUGACUUUGAAUUGAGAUUAUCUCCCUCCCCCCAUAAACUCCCUUUGAUUGUACCAAAUAGCUUUAACCUUCUCUGUAAGUAGUACCAUAUGACUCAGGAUUGACUCUUGUUGUAGUGUGUACAGAAUGGUAAUCUGGAGGUGGCCAGUACCUUGUAUGCUUCUGGCAAUAGACCCCUGGUCCCUUUCAUUUGCAGAAAAUGAGGCAGGAGGCAGAGGUUGGCAAACAUUGCUCGACUUCGUGGGUCAACUUACUUUAGUAAGGGGCAGUGCCACAUUGACACAGAAACUCUGAGGCCUAGAGCCUAAUGUCUUCAUCAGCAAGAUUACGCCCUAUACCUGCCCUGCCCCUCCACACUAUGCCCAGCAUGGAGGAGUCAAUGUUAAGUAAAUAUUUGCCGAAUAAAAUUGAAGGCAACAGUAGUAUCUUUUCCAAGAAGCUUACAAUGCUUCUCCACUUUCAUUUUGCCUAUCCCUCUUUGAGUCUACAGAAGGUCAUUUCAUUAAGUACUUGUAGCUAUUUUUGUUAUUGCUGUUCUGUAUUGGCUCCUCUAAGGCAUUCCCUGGACAGUGUGCCCUGGCAGUGUGCUGUGUCGUAGACACCAUUGUGCAUACCCAUUCUAGUCACAACUCUCAAGUACAUGUGUUCCCUUUGUUCCAGCCACUUCUGCCUGGACGUACUGUUCAGAAGGAUGAUUGGAAAAUGCUCUUUGGGGAGUACAAUUAGCAAAACAAAAAAAGCAGUGGUUACUAUUUCCGUCUGUCUGGGCCUUGUUUGUACUUCUUCUGCCAGAUCAAUGUGAUGACUCAUUAAUAGAUCUAUUUAGUUUAAUCAAUUUGUUUAUUUUACAUUAUUGACAAGGUAGCUGUAUUGCCAGGUUAGAAAUUGACAUCUGACUGAAGUAAAGAAGAAAAAGGGACUUUAUUUUUAUAGCCACUGUAGCGUCAUGUGAUUUUUUUAAAAAAAUUAUUUUAAGAGGAGUUUGAAAGCAUUUUCAAGCCCAAAUAAACCCUUGGAAAUUUGCUAUUAAAUAACAACAUUUUAGAGUAAGGAGAGACAGAUAGAGGUCAUUUUCAUCUUGUUCUUUUUGGUUCUUUCUCAUAGGGAAACUAUGAUACAGACCGAGACAAUUUCCUUUUCUCCUAAGCUGUGCGUCCAGUCCAGGCUUCAUUCAGGCCUCCGAAGCGUGUUGCUUUGGAAGUUGCCAGGGUCCUUUACUGGCACCACACUAAAGGUGCCUUCCCCCUACCAGGUUUAAUUCUUCCCUAAGUAGGUUAUUUUCCCUGAAACACCAUUGCUUUCCUGUCAGUCCAGAUUCAUGACCUUAAUCAAAAACUUCCUUUAUCGGUAUCUGUUUAAAUCGCUCUAACGAGUCACCAUUUGUCUGCCAUGACAGAGAAAUUGAGUCUUUAAACAGGAGUGAGUGCAUUCCACAGCAAUUGUUAGGCAUGAUAGGAUGUUUAUUAAAGUCCAUAGUUUAUUCUUCUGCAUCUUUGUGCUGCUCACCUUGGCCACUAGUGGUUGAGUCUGCCCCUCCCUGUGUGUUGUCACUGUCGUUUCUAAUCUUGGCGUGUUUGCCCUGCUGUUCUCCUGCAAUGUGGAAAAAAUUGCCAGCAGCUGGGAAACCUCUGAUUCUUCUAUAAAGCUAACCUUUCUUCUUUAAAAUGACUCAAGAGUAAGGGCCUCUUUCAGGUAGAGAGGAAAGCUUCAGUGAAAACUCUAAAUAAUGUUUUGGGUUCUUUAGUAGGUUUUAGAAGGGGAGUUCCUAAGGAGGUAAAUGGGAAUGCCACCCAGCCUUGGCAAGUUCUUAAUGAAACUAAUGAUUUUAAUAGACUGACCUUAUUACUCCCCUUAAUUUAUAUCCUCAUUACAAGAGUGUCUGUUCAAUGUUUGCUACAUUUUUAUCAGCCUUGGGAGGCUAAACCUCCUCUUCAGUUUCUGCUGCAGCCACAACAGUUGUCUCCUUUUUAUCUGAAAAGAGUGGCCCCAUAGGUCCAGGGAUAAAAAUGAGGAGAGGUUGUGAUAGUCUGGAAAACUUUAUCUUAAAUCAUGUCAGGCUAAGAAUUGGCUUCAGAAUACCACAUAAAAUAAAAGAGAAAUAAGGAUUAUCUGUUUAUCCAUUACACUUCUUGAUCUUACAAAGAAAUGUCUAGUAGGGUGGUAUUUUAGUUCCCAUCAGCCUCACUCUCAGGACCUGGACAGGUCAGCUGUACAUUAGGUGACACCUGGGCAAGAGGAAUGGAGGUGAAAGAUCUUUGUACCAGAGUCUGGUGUUGGAAUUUUGCAUCAGUGUUGUUAUUGAUUUGCCUGAUGAAUAUUCCACCCAAAUGUGGUUCUUUCUGUUACUUUGGUCCAAAAAUGUUAUGAGGACAAAGAAAACAAACGAUCUCUCUCUCUGAGAUUUGUGGGUGGCAGAAACCCUCCAUGCUCAGGAAUGAUAUUCAUAACUUUGAUAGAUGCCCAUUAAUGGGUCUGCAAGCAAACCUAAUAUCCUGGCAAGUUGCUAGAGCUGGGCCAAGUGCACGUUCUUCUUUGAGGACACAGGGUUUUCCUAACCUUUUCAUAGAUAGACCUAUGAGUCCCCAGAUAGCUGAUGAGAGGAAUAAUGAUUGAUUUAACAUUGUAGCUUCUGGUUAGUCAGGACCCUGGAUCCCUUGGCUGCCCUGAAGGAAACUGCCCACAUUCCUGGCACCACCUCUUUCUGCACUAAGCAGUACCAGUUGAAGGCAUGGAAACAACUGAGUGAAGAGAACCUGCACCUUUGGAAGGCGUGGUUCUCUGGCACGUGGGCACUCUUUCAGAGCGUAUCUCGCCCCUCCUGGUGGGAGAUAAGACUAAGUCCAUGCUUCCUCUUCAGCCAUUCAGGAGGUGUUUUCCCUCAGAUCGGCUGUCCUCUGAACAUUUCUCUGGAAAGGAACCACACUCUUCCCAAGGCUUGGAAUGGUACUUUUUCAAUAGCUUUGUAAUUUUUACCCUAAUUUUCAAACGAAUAUAUUCUUAUUUCUCCCAUAGAAAAGCAGAAAAGUGUGAAACAAAAUAAAUAUCACUUCACUUCUCA